rnacentral:tRNA from 1 species
GCUGAGGUCGCCUAGUCUGGUAGGGCGCAAGGUUGCUAACCUUGUGUGCUUUGCACUCGGGAGUUCAAAUCUCCCCCUCAGCG